UACGUAGGGUGCGAGCGUUGUCCGGAAUUAUUGGGCGUAAAGAGCUCGUAGGCGGUUUGUCGCGUCGAAUGUGAAACCCGGGGCUCAACCCCGGGCCUGCAUUCGAUACGGGCAGACUAGAGUUCGGUAGGGGAGUCUGGAAUUCCUGGUGUAGCAGUGAAAUGCGCAGAUAUCAGGAGGAACACCGGUGGCGAAGGCGGGUCUCUGGGCCGUAACUGACGCUGAGGAGCGAAAGCGUGGGGAGCGAACAGG
rnacentral:rRNA from 1 species